rnacentral:rRNA from 1 species
GUGGGGAAUAUUGGGCAAUGGGCGCAAGCCUGACCCAGCAACGCCGCGUGAAGGAAGAAGGUUUUCGGAUUGUAAACUUCUUUUAAGAGGGACGAAGAAAGUGACGGUACCUCUUGAAUAAGCCACGGCUAACUACGUGCCAGCAGCCGCGGUAAUACGUAGGUGGCAAGCGUUAUCCGGAUUUACUGGGUGUAAAGGGCGUGUAGGCGGGAAUGCAAGUCAGAUGUGAAAAUUAUGGGCUCAACCCAUAACCUGCAUUUGAAACUGUGUUUCUUGAGUGAUGGGGAGGCAGGCGGAAUUCCGUGUGUAGCGGUGAAAUGCGUAGAUAUACGGAGGAACACCAGUGGCGAAGGCGGCCUGCUGGACAUUAACUGACGCUGAGGCGCGAAAGCGUGGGGAGCAAACAGGAUUAGAAACCCCUGUAGUCC